rnacentral:rRNA from 1 species
AGUGAACGCUGGCGGUAGGCCUAACACAUGCAAGUCGAACGGCAGCACAGUAAGAGCUUGCUCUUACGGGUGGCGAGUGGCGGACGAGUGAGGAAUACAUCGGAAUCUACUUUUUCGUGGGGGAUAACGUAGGGAAACUUACGCUAAUACCGCAUACGACCUACGGGUGAAAGCAGGGGAUCUUCGGACCUUGCGCGAUUGAAUGAGCCGAUGUCGGAUUAGCUAGUUGGCGGGGUAAAGGCCCACCAAGGCGACGAUCCGUAGCUGGUCUGAGAGGAUGAUCAGCCACACUGGAACUGAGACACGGUCCAGACUCCUACGGGAGGCAGCAGUGGGGAAUAUGGGACAAUGGGCGCAAGCCUGAUCCAGCCAUACCGCGUGGGUGAAGAAGGCCUUCGGGUUGUAAAGCCCUUUUGUUGGGAAAGAAAAGCAGCAGGUUAAUACCCCGCUGUUCUGACGGUACCCAAAGAAUAAGCACCGGCUAACUUCGUG